CCGAGUUACAACUCCCAAACCCCUGUGAACAUACCUUUAUGUUGCCUCGGCGGAUCAGCCCGCGCCCCGUAAAACGGGACGGCCCGCCGCAGGAAACCCUAAACUCUGUUUUUAGUGGAACUUCUGAGUAUAAAAAACAAAUAGAUCA
rnacentral:misc_RNA from 1 species